GUCUAGCGGAACCUUUAGUAGGUAGGUGGAGCCGCGCCGACGGAAGUGGGUCACUGGAAGGGAGGGUAGGGCCUCCAUUUGAGACCAGCUUCGGUCUGGAAUGGUGACCAUGGCGAGCUCCCUGUGUCCCGUCUUAAACGGUCCGCCAGAGACAGGACAGCAGGAGGAACACACGAUGCUUACUCCGUGAGGUGACCAAGGAGAUGCCAAGACUCACGUUUGUUUUCUCCAUUUGGAUCCAACCUGCACUUCAACUUUACACCUGAGUUCCCCAAGGAAUCCCCACUGCUCUUGCCUUCCCGUUUGGUGCUACGUAGGGGUGACCACACGGACUGGCUGGCUCCCCAAACCUUUGUACGCUAGUUUCCCAAGUGAGUCCCCAAAGCCAAGGCUGUCUGAUCACACCAGCAGGGAGUGGAGGAAAUGAAAUCAUUGUGCAGUAAUAUCAAGAGGUGGGUGACUGGGACUGGAGAGAUGGCUCAGUGGUUAGGAGCACUGACUGCUCUUCCACGGAAUCUGAACUCGAUUCCCAGCACCUUCAUAGUGGCUCACAACCAUCUGUAAUGAGGUCUGGUGCCCUCUUCUGGCCUUCAGGCAUACACACAGGCAGAGUAUUGUAUACAUAAUAAAUAAAUAAAUAAAUAUUUUUUAAAAAAAUUCUUAAAGGUGGAUUUGGGAGAGCUGGUCCUCCAAGAUUAGCCUGACCAUCACCAUCCUGGGACAUGAGUUGCCAUGGUGACUGAGCACAGACCCCAACUUGUGACUGGGACAUAGCAGAACUUAAAUAAAAUUGAGGGGAUGAUAAAUUGA